rnacentral:rRNA from 1 species
UACGUAGGGGGCAAGCGUUGUCCGGAUUUACUGGGCGUAAAGAGCGCGUAGGCGGAAGCUUAAGUGUGGCCUGAAAGCCCCCGGCUCAACCGGGGAGGGUGGCUGCAAACUGGGCUUCUUGAGGGCGAUAGAGGAAGGUGGAAUUCCGGGUGUAGCGGUGAAAUGCGUAGAGAUCCGGAGGAACACCAGUGGCGAAGGCGGCCUUCUGGGUCGACCCUGACGCUGAGGCGCGAAAGCGUGGGGAGCGAACGGG